GACGUAGGGCGCGAGCGUUGUCCGGAUUUGUUGGGCGUAAAGAGCUCGUAGGCGGCUUGUCGCGUCGUCCGUGAAAACCUGGGGCUCAACCCCAGGCUUGCGGUCGAUACGGGCAGGCUAGAGUUCGGUAGGGGAGACUGGAAUUCCUGGUGUAGCGGUGAAAUGCGCAGAUAUCAGGAGGAACACCGGUGGCGAAGGCGGGUCUCUGGGCCGAUACUGACGCUGAGGAGCGAAAGCGUGGGGAGCGAACAGG
rnacentral:rRNA from 1 species